rfam:Picea glauca, whole genome shotgun sequence.
UGAUCCAUGGUGCAAUGGUAGCGCAUCUGACUCCAGAUUAGAAGGUUGAGUGUUCGAUUCACGUCGGGUUCA